CUGAAUGAUGCUCCUGCCCCGUGAUCUAUGACACCACCAUUGUAUGCGUCUAAGGUGCACCUCUUACAAUUGGCAUCACUCCUACAAGCCACUCGAAGUAUACGCACCCCUCACAGCCUCACAUGCCAUACAAGUGGACGUGGCAGUUGAUAAGAUCGGUUCGUACCCCAGACUAUCCAAUCUAGUAUAUAGACUACAUUUUCCAUGUAAAAUCUAGUUGAUUGUGGUGACACUACUAAGAAAAUUCUUCUCAAAAAAAUAAAAAACAACUUCAAAGAAUGCAUUACCAAGUAAUACGGCAAUGUACAAUUUAUAGAAAAUUUUAU
rnacentral:lncRNA from 1 species